rnacentral:rRNA from 1 species
GAUUUCUGGCUUGAAACAUUUUGCCGGCCACGGUUUCGUGUGUUAGUGCUUGAUGUUCUGGCCAUCCUUCCAAUCGCUGCUUGCUUCUCUUCAUUGAUUAGCAAGUAGUAUUGGAUCUUUUACUUUGAAAAAAUUAGAGUGUUUCAAGCAGGCUAUUGCUAUGAAUACAUUAGCAUGGAAUAAUAAUUUAGGACUUCGGUUCUAUUUUGUUGGUUUCUAGGACUGAAGUAAUGAUUGAUAGGGAUAGUUGGGGGUGCUAGUAUUCAGCGGCCAGAGGUGAAAUUCUUGGAUUCGCUGAAGACUAACUUAUGCGAAAGCAUU